rnacentral:rRNA from 1 species
CCUACGGGUGGCAGCAGUGGGGAAUAUUGCGCAAUGGGCGAAAGCCUGACGCAGCGACGCCGCGUGAGGGAUGAAGGUCUUCGGAUCGUAAACCUCUGUCAGCAGGGAAGAACGGUCACUGUGCUAAUCAGCAGUGAAUUGACGGUACCUGCAAAGGCAGCACCGGCUAACUCCGUGCCAGCAGCCGCGGUAAUACGGAGGGUGCGAGCGUUAAUCGGAAUUACUGGGCGUAAAGCGCUCGUAGGCGGUAUGUCAAGUACAGGGUGAAAUCCCCGCGCUCAACGUGGGAACUGCCUUUGAAACUGGCAAACUGGAGUGUGUGAGAGGAUAGUGGAAUUCCAGGUGGAGGAGUGAAAGCCGUAGAUAUCUGGAGGAACAUCAGUGGCGAAGGCGACUAUCUGGCACAUAACUGACGCUGAGGAGCGAAAGCGUGGGUAGCAAACAGGAUUAGAUACCCCGGUAGUC